rnacentral:lncRNA from 1 species
CUUGAGCUUCCAAUUGAUUUUAUGACUUCAAAUUCAAAGGUCAUACAUUCAUGGGUCUAAGAAGUACCUAGAAAGCAAAAAGAAAUAAAAUAGUGAAACGUCAGCAACAACAAACGAUGGUCAGCAAUGAAGCAACAGUUAUAACUAAAUAAAGUCAGUUUCAGCUCCAAAUCAAUUCUACACAGACCCAGAUUAAAUUUCAACUCUCAAACUCAAAUCAAAAUAGCAUUUCAAACACAAAUUGAGCACAAAUCCAAAUUUCCGAAAACCAAAUUAACCAUCCUGAACCCCAUUCACAUCAAAGGCUACUCUAGAGAUCAAUUUCAGAAAAAAUGGAAUAGCAUUUUUUCAAAAGAACCUCAACCGUCCUAUUCUCUCUGAUUUUUAUCUCCCAAAGUCUGCCUUGAAUGGUAAAAUAGGAUGCCUC